rnacentral:rRNA from 1 species
CAGCAGCCACGGUAAUACGGAGGAUCCAAGCGUUAUCCGGAAUCAUUGGGUUUAAAGGGUCCGUAGGCGGUCUUGUAAGUCAGUGGUGAAAGCCCAUCGCUCAACGGUGGAACGGCCAUUGAUACUGCAGGACUUGAAUUAUUGGGAAGUAACUAGAAUAUGUAGUGUAGCGGUGAAAUGCUUAGAGAUUACAUGGAAUACCAAUUGCGAAGGCAGGUUACUACCAAUUGAUUGACGCUGAUGGACGAAAGCGUGGGUAGCGAACAGGAUUAGAGACCCCCGUAGUCCCUGUCUCUUAUAC